rnacentral:rRNA from 1 species
GACAGAGGGUGCAAACGUUGUUCGGAAUUACUGGGCGUAAAGGGCUCGUAGGCGGCCAACUAAGUCAUACGUGAAAUCCCUCGGCUUAACCGGGGAACUGCGUCUGAUACUGGAUGGCUUGAGUUCGGGAGAGGGAUGCGGAAUUCCAGGUGUAGCGGUGAAAUGCGUAGAUAUCUGGAGGAACACCGGUGGCGAAGGCGGCAUCCUGGACCGAUACUGACGCUGAUGAGCGAAAGCCAGGGGAGCAAACGGG